CUGCUUACAUGGACCGGGUCUAUGGGUGAUCAAUAAGGUCCAUGUCCUAGGUUGACAGUUCACAUUGCACGUGAUGAGUGCGUUGAUCUAUCAUCUUCCUUUUAAGAAAGAGUGGACGUCGUAAUUUGUGAUAGAGGGGGUACACGCUAGCGCGGCCCCUGC
rnacentral:snRNA from 1 species